rnacentral:rRNA from 1 species
AGUGAACGCUGGCGGUAGGCCUAACACAUGCAAGUCGAACGGCAGCACAGUAAGAGCUUGCUCUUACGGGUGGCGAGUGGCGGACGGGUGAGGAAUACAUCGGCAUCUACUUUUUCGUGGGGGAUAACGUAGGGAAACUUACGCUAAUACCGCAUACGACCUACGGGUGAAAGCAGGGGAUCUUCGGACCUUGCGCGAUUGAAUGAGCCGAUGUCGGAUUAGCUAGUUGGCGGGGUAAAGGCCCACCAAGGCGACGAUCCGUAGCUGGUCUGAGAGGAUGAUCAGCCACACUGGAACUGAGACACGGUCCAGACUCCUACGGGAGGCAGCAGUGGGGAAUAUUGGACAAUGGGCGCAAGCCUGAUCCAGCCAUACCGCGUGGGUGAAGAAGGCCUUCGGGUUGUAAAGCCCUUUUGUUGGGAAAGAAAAGCGGCAGGUUAAUACCCCGCUGUUCUGACGGUACCCAAAGAAUAAGCACCGGCUAACUUCGUG